AUGCUGAGGCUGCCCGUGACACCAAGGAGCUUUACGAGGGGCAUCGCCGCGACGCUGAGGAGGCCGGCUGAGGAGGCCGACCGGCGGCGUGAGGAGCAGCUGGCCGCUCGCGAGGAGCAGCUGGCCAUGCGUGAGGACGCACUCGCCAUGCGUGAGCAGGCGCUCCUGAGGCGUGAGCAGGCGCUCGUGAGGCGUGCUGAGGCGCUCACGAAGCGUGCCGAGCUGCUCACGAACGAGCAGCUCUCCUGCCGUGAGGAGGAGCUCUCCAUGCGUGAGAAGGUGCUCGCCAGGCGUGAGGACAUUCUCACCAGGCAUGAGGAGGCGUGA
rnacentral:rRNA from 1 species